UACGUAGGGGAUAGCGUUAUCCGGAAUUACUGGGCGUAAAGGGUGCGUAGGUGGUUUCUUAAGUCAGAGGUGAAAGGCUACAGCUCAACCGUAGUAAGCCUUUGAAACUGGGAAACUUGAGUGCAGGAGAGGAGAGUGGAAUUCCUAGUGUAGCGGUGAAAUGCGUAGAUAUUAGGAGGAACACCAGUUGUGAAGGCGACUCUCUGGACUGUAACUGACACUGAGGCACGAAAGCGUGGGGAGCAAACAGGAUUAGAUACCCUGGUAGUCCCUGA
rnacentral:rRNA from 1 species